AAGCAAAUAUUUCAUGUCAAAGAUUUAACAACAGCUGAGUUUGACGAGAAGAUGAGACAGAUGUUUGAGAGAGACGUGGGGUUUCUGAAAGCAGGUCAAAGGGCGGCAUGUUUCAGAACUCUAGCAAGCCUUCCAGUUGAGUUAAUGCACUUCGCGCCAGCUGGCCCUAAGAAAAUGGAGGCGGUAGAAGAUACCUUGCAUGGACCCGAUACCUUUGACCUUGA